UGGAUCAUGUUGUUUAAUUCGACGAUACGCGAAGAACCUUACCAGGUCUUGACAUCCCCUGCAAAGCUAUGGAGACAUAGUGGAGGUUAUCAGGGAGACAGGUGGUGCAUGGUUGUCGUCAGCUCGUGUCGUGAGAUGUUGGGUUAAGUCCCGCAACGAGCGCAACCCUUAUUGCUAGUUACCAUCAUUAAGUUGGGGACUCUAGCGAGACUGCCAGUGAUAAACUGGAGGAAGGUGGGGAUGACGUCAAAUCAUCAUGCCCCUUAUGACCUGGGCUACAAACGUGAUACAAUGGUUGGUACAACGAGUUGCGAGUCGGUGACGGCGAGCUAAUCUCUUAAAGCCAAUCUCAGUUCGGAUUGUAGGCUGCAACUCGCCUACAUGAAGUCGGAAUCGCUAGUAAUCGCGGAUCAGCACGCCGCGGUGAAUACGUUCCCGGGCCUU
rnacentral:rRNA from 1 species